GCAGACACGGCCCCCAAGCACGCCCUCCACGCACACCAGGUGCCACCCUGCGGGAAGUUUGGGCAGCACGGAGUCCGCCAGCAUUCUACAGGAAGUUUGGGGGAGCACAAGGUUGCCUGCAGAAGGCCAUCAGAAGGGGGUAGGUGAACCCAGUCUGACAGUUGCUGCUUGGGUUUUGACGUCGUUGGACUAGUAGCUGAGGAGAGGCACCACCCCCUUUUAGGUGUCUGAAGGGAGUAUUUACUCCAUCCUGCUGUGGGCUAGAACAUGAAGAAAUCACAGAACUGGUUCUGCCAACAUGAAAGUGUCUCUGCCACAUUUUGGUGAUUCAGUCGCAUUAACUCUCCUACAGUAAUAGAGCCCCUGGGGUAGGCUCUGCUCGUGUGCACAUACAUAAUAACCUUCACAGAUCCUAAGGUAAACGUUCCUUGCAGGGCCCUCCUGCUUUACGCCUGGACUUGCAGUGAUCUUCAAAGUCUUUAGGCCCAAAAAUGUUCAGGCCUGGCUCAGUUGGGGAAGCAUUAUUAUUUAUUAUCUCUAGGGAAUGGAGCAUUUAAUCAACGGCUCCUUUGGGAUCAGCCCCUGCUGAGAAUGAGAAUACACAAGGAGGAGUUGUUAAUUAUUAAUUAUUGUUUCUUUAUAUAAACCAUCUUGCUAAAAAAUAAGGGCCCUUCCCCUAUCCAAGGUGUUGAGAAAACGUAAGUUUUGAGGACGUACUCUGCAACAAUGUGGAAAAUUAAAGGAAAGAUACAGAUCCUCACCUGAAGACAAUGACAAUCUAGUGGGAAGGGCAAUGAAUGCAUUGAAAGGUUAGAUAAUAAUAUAAGGCAGUAAUAGAGAACACCACAAAAACAAAAAUUAUUUUUUUUGAGGUGGGAUCUCACUCUGUUGCCCAGGCUGGAGUGCAGUGGCAUAAUCUCCGUUCAAUGCAGCCAUGACCUCCAGGGCUCAAGUGAUCUGCCCACCUCAGCUUCCCUAAUAGCUGGGACUAACAGGCCCUUGUCACAAUGACCAGCUAAUUUUUGUAUUUUUUAUAAAGGGGGAGUUUUGCCAUGUUGCCAGGCUGGCAUCGAACUCCUGGUCUCAAGCGAUCCUCCCACCUUGGCCUCCCAAAGUGCUAGGAUUACAGGUAUGAGCCACACCACACAGGGUGACAAAUGAUUUUUAAUAAUUCUAUGUUUCACAGUAAUUGCCCCAUUUAGCAAUUAAUAUAGUCAAGUGAUAGAGGGAAGUUCUGAAUUUAGAGAAAGAUGAGAUCGUUGGCAGGGUAGUCAGUGGUGACUUCGUGGGUGAGCAGGGACCUUGGCUUUGCAGGGAGGUGAGUCAAUGAUAAUUCCAGGAGAUGAGCGCUGAGGGGUGGAGCUGUGAUAGUCCUGAGGAGCAGCACCUGGCCUGAGAGUGUGAGGAAGGCGUCUAGAAGAGGGGAAACCUGUGCUGAGUUUGAGGGGUGAGUGGUAUUACCUAGAGGAAGGUGAGCAGACGCUCAAGGAGGAGAAGCCUGGGGACACAUGCAAGGAGGGAUUUAGAAACCUCCACAUCUUCUGUCUGCAUAUUUAGGGUGAGCUUUAUUAACUUAUUCUUUAACAGUAUCAUACACCCUAGCUUAUACAGUGACUUGAAAUAAAUAUUCCUUUAUUCCCCUUUAAGGAUUUCAGCAGGUAGCUGAUGUAAUCAUAUUUGCACUACAACCUCAAGAGGAAUCUCUGCCUAAAUAAACAAAGGCCAAGGGAAGACCAAGGGGGCAGCUAUGCAAAAAAGAAUCUGGAGAUGCAGGCUGGAGUUUCCACUGGCAGGCCCCCAGAAGACCCCUCAUAAUGCAGGAGCCAGAGCUGGGAAGGACAGCCGUGGGCCAGUGAGUGACCUUUCACACUCUAAUCCUGGGCUUCUCAAAUUUUGAAGACAGGCCUGUCUAUAUGCAGCUGUUUUU
rnacentral:lncRNA from 10 species